UACCCCACUAUGCACAGCCAUAAACUUUGAUAGCACACUACAAUCACUAUCCGCCCGGGUACUACGAGCAUAAGCUUAAAACCCAAAGGACUUGGCGGUGCUUUAGAUCCACCUAGAGGAGCCUGUUCUAGAACCGAUAACCCCCGUUAAACCUCACCUUCCCUUGCCCUUCCCGCCUAUAUACCGCCGUCGUCAGCAUACCCUGUGAAGGGACAACAGUAAGCAAAAUUGGUACAGCCUAAAACGCCAGGUCGAGGUGUAGCACAUGAGAAGGAAAGAAAUGGGCUACAUUUCCUUUUUAAGGAAACACGAAUUGUGUUUUGAAAAACCACAUGAAGGAGGAUUUAGCAGUAAGUAAGAAAAAGAGCGUCUUACUGAACCCGGCCCUGAAGCGCGCACACACCGCCCGUCACUCUCCCUAAGCCACUAAACAAUCAUCUUUAAUAAACAAAACAGGCAAAGGGGAGGCAAGUCGUAACAUGGUAAGUGUACCGGAAGGUGCACUUGGAAAAAU
rnacentral:rRNA from 1 species